rnacentral:rRNA from 1 species
GUCUGUUUGGAGAUAUAAACAGUCUAGCCUGCCCACUGAUAAGCAUUAAAGGGCCGCGGUAUUCUGACCGUGCAAAGGUAGCAUAAUCGUUAGUUUCUUAAUUGGGAUCUUGUAUGAAUGGUUGGACAAAAGAAAAUCUGUCUUUGUAGUCGUUAUUGAAUUUAACUUUUGAGUGAAAAGGCUCAAAUAAAUUAAAGGGACGAUAAGACCCUAUAAAGCUUGAUAUUAGGAGAUAUUAACCUUAAUUUUAAGAUUAUAAAGGUUUAGUGUGUAGUUUUUAUUAUAUUGGGGCGAUAGAAGUAAAAUGAUUGGUAACUGCUUCUUUUUUAGACAAAAAUAAGUGAGUAACAGGAAGUAAAGGAUCCUUUAUAAAGAUUUAAAGAAUAAGUUACUUUAGGGAUAACAGCGUUAUUUUUUUUGAGAGUUCUUAUCGAAAAAAAAGUUUGCGACCUCGAUGUUGAAUUAAAAAUUCUUUACAAUUGCAGCAGUUG